AAGUGCUGGAUAUCUAUAAACAAGUAAUGUCUGAUGAUGUCUUUCAAUAAGUCUUUUAGGCAUGAAUGAGAUCCAACCAUAAUGACUGUUUUUUUUUUUUCAGGAUUCACUUGCAAUCCACUAUUACUUAUUAUCAUCGUAGGACUGAUUUGUCUGUAUGUGCUGACUGUUGGAUUCUGUAUCCACAAAAUUAAAAGGUUGUCUGGAAGACUGAAGGGAGAGAGGGAUGGGGACACAUAUGCCAGUCUGCAGCUCCCCAACAUCAGCCCUGAAUAUGACGUGCUGCAGGUAAAAAACAGGUAUCAGAAAGACACAGGGACUACACAAGAUGAGAACGAUGAUUACCAGAACCCUGAAGAUGGAAACAGACCAGAUUCAGGGGCUAAUUAAAAAUGUGAGCAUGUUGUGUUUCUUUUAAAGCUGAUUAUUUUUGUUUUAAAAACAAACAAAAAAAAUCACUGAAUGUUGAGGGUAAUUUUUAUCUAU